rnacentral:sRNA from 1 species
AUUACGGCCUAUACAUCGCAUGUAGAAAACGAGUUUCUCGGUUAGAACUUAAAAUGGAUUUGGAAGUAGUGGUUGGUUUUCUGAAGAUAAGGGUUAGUGAAACUUAUCCGCUGUCUUUCCUGUUACGCUUGUGACAUGGCUUUAUAUCAAAGGAUUAGAAUAUCAAAAUUUCACAUAUUUACCGGGAGGAUAAUCGUUUUGCGGAUGAAUUAGCUAACCAUGCUUUUUCUUUAAAUUUAGUUUUUCACUUUUUAGAUACUAUUCCAAGAUGUUCUCUUUUGUCGGAUGAUGCCCGUUGUUUGGCAAUUCGAUGGCAUGUUGUUGCUUGUUAAGUUUUUGUAUGUUGCUAUGAAUAAAUUUGGGGAGGCAUUAUCUCCCCGUCCCCUACCAAUUUCUUUUUUUUUCUUCUAUCCCAUAUAUAUAUAUAUAUAUAUAUAAAUUUCGAAAACUCUUUGCUUUCAUUUUCUUAAAAAAUCAC